CCCCUGUGUUUUGUUCCUCUGUCCAGUGCGCUCAUCCCCGUGUUGUUCCCCUCUGUGUGUAUUUCUCGUUCGUCCGUUUUCCUCUCAUUCGUGUCGGUCCUGUAUCUACUGAGAAGAGAUGGUUGCUGCUGCUAUGGCUGAUGCAUGAUCACGGUGAGAAAGGGGAGUGAGGGCUGGUGUUUACUGGGGGCUCACGGUGAGAAUCUGGACUGGUUCGGGAGGAGAUGGUGGUGAUGGUUGGGGAAGAUGGUGUAAGUGCGGGUUACGAGGAUGAGAGUAGAGAAGAUGAAGGGAACCACUGAU
rnacentral:lncRNA from 1 species